rnacentral:lncRNA from 1 species
UUAAAUUCAUUUUCUUUCCACUUAUGUAUAGCCAACUAGUACCAAGGCAUUCUGACGCACUCCUGGAAAUUGCUCAUUUCCCUUCUUGCUUCUCCGUCUCCAAGGCUUGUCUCAAAAAAGGGCCAGAUUCUUCCCUGGUUAAGGAGAGUCACAGGCUUCAGCACCCAGGAGUCAGCUCUUGCUCCAAGGAGGACUUCCUUCUUCUGAGGAGCUUGUUGUUGACUCCAUAGCUUGGUUUCUUCAUGUUUUGGCAGAGCCUUCUGAGGAUGGUGAGUUAUGAAGUUUUCUCCAUUUUGUGGUUCUGCAGGUACCAGUGCCCCUGGUAACCAGCCUGCGGUACUACACUAUCCUUUGUACUUUCCACACCCUUGAAAGUACAAGUACUUAAUGAAAUUCUCCCCAAGUAUACAACUCGACUGUGCCAUCUCUUUCCUACCUGGACUCUGACCAAGAUCCUGAGAAGGCAUUGGUUAAAAGAUACUACAGAUUUACAUAGCAAAAUAUUUGUUUAGAAUUUUUUUUAAAAACUUGUGUGUUUCCUACAUCUUUUUUAUUCAGUUAGUUUAACUUAAAAUGUGUACACAUGAAGGGACAGCGUGCUCAACAGAAGUUUGGCAAAGGUGAGCGUUUACUUUCAAUAGUCAAUUAAUUUGGUGAACAUUUAUUUGGUUUCUUCGCUGUUUCAGGCCCUGAGCAAAAAUCUCCAAUGGUAAAGUGAACAUGACCUGCACUCAGCUGUAAGUCUUAUAGAGAUAAGGUCUCAGAAAGGUGGAGUUUUUUUUUUUUUUUCAGCAACAUUCAAGUAUAUAAUAGUUAUUGAAAUAAAAAUAAUGACUAGAAUUAUUCA